UAAACGUACUCAGUUCGGACUGUGGUCUGCAACCCGACCACACGAAGCUGGAAUCGCUAGUAAUCGUGAAUCAGAAUGUCACGGUGAAUACGUUCCCGGGUCUUGUACACACCGCCCGUCACACCAUGGGAGUCAGCAACGCCCGAAGUCAGUGACCUAACCGAGAGGGAGGAGCUGCCGAAGGCGGGGCCGGUAACUGGGGUGAAGUCGUAACAAGGUAGC
rnacentral:rRNA from 1 species